rnacentral:rRNA from 1 species
GGCGAACGGGUGAGUAACACGUGGGUGAUCUGCCUUGCACUCUGGGAUAAGCUUGGGAAACUGGGUCUAAUACCGGAUAGGAACCGUCUUUAGUGUGGUGGUGGAAGUUUUUCGGUGCAAGAUGAGCUCGCGGCCUAUCAGCUUGUUGGUGGGGUAAUGGCCUACCAAGGCGUCGACGGGUAGCCGGCCUGAGAGGGUGUACGGCCACAUUGGGACUGAGAUACGGCCCAG